rnacentral:rRNA from 1 species
GAAAGUAAUGAAGGGCGCAUGGCGGAUGCCUUGGCUCACGGAGGCGAUGAAGGACGUGUCAAGCUGCGAUAAGCCCCGGGUAGAUGCAAGCAAUCUCUGAUCCGGGGAUUUCCGAAUGGGACAACCCAGCACUCUGAAGGAGUGCUAUCCUGAUUUUUGUUCAGGAGGCUAACGCAGGGAACUGAAACAUCUUAGUACCUGCAGGAAAAGAAAAUAAGUUAAUGAUUCCCCCAGUAGUGGCGAGCGAACGGGGAGUAGCCCAAACCCGCUGCGUUUCAGUGCGCGGCGGGGGUUGUAGGACCACGCUGUCGUACCCCGGGUGUGAGGAGAAUGUUCUGGAAAGUUCAACCGUAGCGGGUGACAGUCCCGUAUCCGAAGCAUGAGGGGGCGUAGUGGUAUCCUGAGUAGCGCGGAGCACGAGUAAUUCUGCGUGAAUCUGCCGGGCCCAUCCGGCAAGGCUAAAUACUCCCGUGAGACCGAUAGUGUACCAGUACCGUGAGGGAAAGGUGAAAAGCACUCCGAUUAGGAGAGUGAAACAGUUCCUGAAACCAUGCGCCUACAAGCGGUCGGAGCAUAUUGUUGUAUGUGACGGCGUGCCUUUUGCAUAAUGAACCUACGAGUUACCAUGCCCAGCGAGGUUAAGGGGCUCAGCCCCGUAUCCGCAGUGAAAGCGAGCCUGAAGAGGGCGUUCAGUUGGGUGGGGUAGACGCGAAACCAAGUGAUCUACACUUGACCAGGUUGAAGUUCCGGUAACACGGAAUGGAGGACCGCACGGAUAAGCGUUGAAAAGCUUCCCGAUGAGUUGAGUGUAGGAGUGAAAGGCCAAUCAAACUUGGAGAUAGCUCGUACUCCCCGAAAGGCAUUUAGGUGCCGCGUGCGAUGUUCUCCGUGAGAGGUAGAGCGACCGAUAGGUCAAGAGGGCUUCACCGCCUGUCGCGACCUGACGAACUCCGAAUGCUCACGGACCGUAGUCGUGCAGUAAGGGGGCGGGUGCUAAGGUCCGUCCCCGAGAGGAGAAGAAUCCUGACCGUCGUCUAAGGUCCCGAAAUUCUGUCUAAGUUAGUCUAACGAAGUCUGGUCCCCGUGACAGCUAGGAUGUUGGCUUGGAAGCAGCCAUUCAUUCAAAGAGUGCGUAACAGCUCACUGGUCGAGGGUCCGGGCGUGGAUAAUAAUCGGGUAUGAAGUCAGAUACCGAAGGCGCGGGAUAGCAUUGUAUAUAUAAAGUAUCGGUAGGGGAGCAUUCCAUGUGCGCAGAAUGGUGAUGGUGACAGAUCCUGGAGCGCAUGGAAAAGCAAAUGUAGGUAUGAGUAACGAUAAAGGGGGUGAGAUUCCCCCUCGCCGCAAGACCAAGGUUUCCCGGGCGAUGCCAGUCAGCCCGGGGUCAGUCGGGUCCUAAGUCCCAGCCGAACGGCGAAGGCGAUGGCAUACACGGUGAACAUUCCGUGACUUGCCCAUUCAGCGACGCGGAGACGGAGCAGUGACACUGUCGCGCCCUUACGGACAUGGGCGUUGAAGGCUUUAGGCUUUGAUGGGUGCAGGCAAAUCCACACCCAGAGCUGAUGGCCGACAGUACGGUCCUCCCCCCGGGGCGGACCGACAGCACAGGUAACCAUACUUCCAAGAAAAUCCGCUAAGCUCAAUGUUUGGGCAACCCGUACCGCAAACGGACACACGUAGUCGGGUAGAACAUACUGAGGCGUUGAGAGAUUCAUGGUUAAGGAACUAGGCAAACUGACCCCGUAACUUCGGGAUAAGGGGUCCUCAUAGUAAUAUGAGGCGCAGAGAAUAGGUCCAGGCAACUGUUUAACAAAAACACAGGGCUGUGCAAACUCGAAAGAUGAUGUAUACAGCCUGACACCUGCCCGGUGCCGGAAGGUUAAGAGGAGGGCUCAGACUUCGGUCGAAGGCCUGAAUUGAAGCCCCGGUAAACGGCGGCCGUAACUAUAACGGUCCUAAGGUAGCGAAAUUCCUUGUCGGGU